CCUACGGGACGCAGCAGUGGGGAAUAUUGCACAAUGGGGGAAACCCUGAUGCAGCGACGCCGCGUGGGCGACGAAGCGCUCCGGCGCGUAAAGCCCUGUCAGCAGGGAAGAACAAAGACAGUACCUGACCAAGAAGCCCCGGCUAACUACGUGCCAGCAGCCGCGGUAAUACGUAGGGGGCAAGCGUUAUCCGGAUUCAUUGGGCGUAAAGCGCGCGUAGGCGGCUGCCUAAGCGGAACCUCUAACCCCGGGGCUCAACCUCGGGCCGGGUUCCGAACUGGGCGGCUCGAGUGCGGUAGAGGAGG
rnacentral:rRNA from 1 species